rnacentral:rRNA from 1 species
UACAGAGGUCUCAAGCGUUGUUCGGAUUCAUUGGGCGUAAAGGGUGCGUAGGUGGCGCCGUAAGUCGGGUGUGAAAUUUCGGAGCUUAACUCCGAAACUGCAUUCGAUACUGCGGUGCUUGAGGACUGGAGAGGAGACUGGAAUUCAUGGUGUAGCAGUGAAAUGCGUAGAGAUCAUGAGGAAGACCAGUGGCGAAGGCGGGUCUCUGGACAGUUCCUGACGCUGAGGCACGAAGGUCAGGGGAGCAAACGGG